AGGUAAUAUUAAAUUAUUAUAAAAACCUAUAUAUCUUGGCGGCAUUUAAUCUUAUUAGAGGAACUUGUUUAAUAAUCGAUAUUCCACGAUAAAUUUCACUUCAUUUAAUAAUUUAUAUACCGCCAUCUAAAGAACUAAUUAAUAAACAUAUUCCCAAUAAUUCCUAAAAAGUUAGGUCAAGGUGUAAUCUAUAAUUAAGAACAAAAUGAGUUACUUUAAAUAAAAUUUAAGAAUAAAAUAAAAAAAAUCAUUUUUAAAAAAGGAUUUAUAAGUAAUGUAAAAACAAUAAUUUUAACUGAUAAAGAAAAAAAAUGUGC
rnacentral:rRNA from 1 species